GUUUUUAUAGUUUAAAUUUAAAACAUUGGUCUUGUAAAUCAGUAAUAAUAAUAAUAUUUAAAAACU
rnacentral:tRNA from 1 species